AGUGAACGCUGGCGGUAGGCCUAACACAUGCCAGUCGAACGGCAGCACAGUAAGAGCUUGCUCUUACGGUUGGCGAGUGGCGGACGGGUGAGGAAUACAUCGGAAUCUACUUUUUCGUGGGGGAUAACGUAGGGAAACUUACGCUAAUACCGCAUACGACCUACGGGUGAAAGCAGAGGAUCUUCGUACCUUGCGCGAUUGAAUGAGCCGAUGUCGGAUUAGCUAGUUGGCGGGGUAAAGGCCCACCAAGGCGACGAUCCGUAGCUGGUCUGAGAGGAUGAACAGCCACACUGGAACUGAGACACGGUCCAGACUCCUACGGGAGGCAGCAGUGGGGAAUAUUGGACAAUGGGCGCAAGCCUGAUCCAGCCAUACCGCGUGGGUGAAGAAGGCCUUCGGGUUGUAAAGCCCUUUUGUUGGGAAAGAAAAGCAGCAGGUUAAUACCCCGCUGUUCUGACGGUACCCAAAGAAUAAGCACCGGCUAACUUCGUG
rnacentral:rRNA from 1 species